GAUGAACGCUGGCGGCGUGCCUAAUACAUGCAAGUCGAGCGAACAGAUAAGGAGCUUGCUCCUUUGACGUUAGCGGCGGACGGGUGAGUAACACGUGGAUAACCUACCUAUAAGACUGGGAUAACUUCGGGAAACCGGAGCCAAUACCGGAUAACAUAUUGAACCGCAUGGUUCAAUAGUGAAAGGCGGCUUUGCUGUCACUUAUAGAUGGAUCCGCGCCGUAUUAGCUAGUUGGUAAGGUAACGGCUUACCAAGGCAACGAUACGUAGCCGACCUGAGAGGGUGAUCGGCCACACUGGAACUGAGACACGGUCCAGACUCCUACGGGAGGCAGCAGUAGGGAAUCUUCCGCAAUGGGCGAAAGCCUGACGGAGCAACGCCGCGUGAGUGAUGAAGGUCUUCGGAUCGUAAAACUCUGUUAUCAGGGAAGAACAAAUGUGUAAGUAACUGUGCACAUCUUGACGGUACCUGAUCAGAAAGCCACGGCUAACUACGUG
rnacentral:rRNA from 1 species